rnacentral:lncRNA from 1 species
ACAAUAUUGCCGCCAUUUUACUUUCCAGUCAAGUUUUCUUUUCAAGUGUACCAGAUUAAAGUCUCCAAUUUGGAGCAGGUUUCUUAUUCAAGUUAUUCACAUUUACGUUUUAUUUAUCUUGCAUGCUUUACUUUAUUUGUUUUCCUGAAUCGCUUUUACAUACUCGCUUAUUUAACUUGCACAUUUUAUUUACUCGCCCCUUUUAAACAUGAUUAAUUCUGCUAUGUUGUUUUGUAUUUCC